rnacentral:misc_RNA from 1 species
AAAUUGGCAUUGGAUCUUCUAUGAAGCAGGAUUAUGGGAAAUUACCAUGGUUUAUACUCACUCAGAGAAAGGGAAUAAGGAAAAUGAUUCUAGAGACAGAUUGUUUUAGAGCUCUGAACCUUGUGAAGGAAGAUCUGGACCCAGAUAAUCCAAAUAGUGAUAUUUUACUUGCAAUCAAGAAGGUUAUGAGCCAUCAGUCAAAUGCAUACAUGGAAGCCAAGCCACUCAGUUGUUAACAAGUUUUGCCCAAGGUCUAGAAGUAAGAAUGCAAUAUUUUAACUCCCCACCAGGGCUAUUGGCAGGUAGCAUCCUUAGGACCAGUGUGGAAGAGUGGAGUGUCUUUGCGCAAGAUUGGUUCAGUGCCGUCACUCGUCAGAACUCUUAGGCCUUCUAACAAAAUAAAUUAAUAAAAUAAAACAAAAUCACAAAAUUCACCAGAUUAAGUCAACUCUUCCGCUGUUAUCCUAACUGAAGCAUGCAGAGCAUGCAAACUUCAUCAGGCAAAAAAGAUUGGAAGCUGACUUACAUCCUUCUUAUCCAUUGGUGUCAA